rnacentral:rRNA from 1 species
GUGCCAGCCGCGGCGGUGAUACGUAGGGUGCGAGCGUUGUCCGGAAUUAUUGGGCGUAAAGAGCUCGUAGGCGGUUGAUCGCGUCGAAAGUGAAAACUCAGGGCUUAACCCUGAGCCUGCUUUCGAUACGGGUCGACUAGAGGAAGGUAGGGGAGAAUGGAAUUCCUGGUGGAGCGGUGGAAUGCGCAGAUAUCAGGAGGAACACCAGUGGCGAAGGCGGUUCUCUGGACCUUUCCUGACGCUGAGGAGCGAAAGCGUGGGAGCAAACAGGCUUAGAUACCCUGGUAGUCCACGCCGUAAACGGUGGGUACUAGGUGUGGGGACAGUUCCACGUUCUCCGUGCCGUAGCUAACGCAUUAAGCCCCGCCUGGGAGUACGGCCGCAAGGCU